GUUCACAAUGAUGAUUGACAAACCGCCCCAGUCUGACAGCCACUGACUGAUUGGUUAACAUCUGAUAGACA